rnacentral:lncRNA from 1 species
GAUCUGUUGUGGAUGUCCUCCAUGUUGCUGGAUCUAUGGUGGAGAGCUCAUUGUCGCUGGAUCCUUAGUGGGGAAGCUCAUCAUCAUCAACUCAUCUCUCGUGGACCUAAGAAUGGGAGCUUUUCACCUUUUCUUUCUUCCCUCCUCUUCCCCCUUCCAGUUUUAUUACAUACUCUUCCGCUCCACUGCUUUUGCCUCGAAACAGAAAGAAACCUCAUCGCCCCUUUUUUUUUCCUUGGAAUAGGAAGAUGCUAAACUCCCAUCAGAAACACGGAGGGUAGACAGGUAGAGAAACUAAAGUGAGUUGACCUAGUCCAACUGCAGCUGACCAAUAAUCGGAUCCAAGGUUUACCGGACCAGGAUCGGUACCGGUUCGAACCAGUACCGAACUGGAGACGCGCGUGCAGACGUGACCGCGUGCCAGCCUGCGUGGGUGCGCUACCCCGCGCGGGGAACUACACGGGCACGAUUUUCCCCUCGCACGUCCGCGUGCGAUCCCCCCCCCC